rnacentral:rRNA from 1 species
GAUGAACGCUGGCGGCGUGCCUAAUACAUGCAAGUCGAGCGAACAGACGAGGAGCUUGCUCCUCUGACGUUAGCGGCGGACGGGUGAGUAACACGUGGAUAACCUACCUAUAAGACUGGGAUAACUUCGGGACACCGGAGCUAAUACCGGAUAAUAUAUUGAACCGCAUGGUUCAAUAGUGAAAGCCGGUUUUGCUGUCACUUAUAGAUGGAUCCGCGCCGCAUUAGCUAGUUGGUAAGGUAACGGCUUACCAAGGCAACGAUGCGUAGCCGACCUGAGAGGGUGAUCGGCCACACUGGAACUGAGACACGGUCCAGACUCCUACGGGAGGCAGCAGUAGGGAAUCUUCCGCAAUGGGCGAAAGCCUGACGGAGCAACGCCGCGUGAGUGAUGAAGGUCUUCGGAUCGUAAAACUCUGUUAUUAGGGAAGAACAAAUGUGUAAGAAACUAGUCGCGGCUUGACGGUACCUAAUCAGAAAGCCACGGCUAACUACGUG